AUGAACGCUGGCGGCGUGCCUAAUACAUGCAAAUCGAGCGAACAGACGAGGAGCUUGCUCCUCUGACGUUAGCGGCGGACGGGUGAGUAACACGUGGAUAACCUACCUAUAAGACUGGGAUAACUUCGGGAAACCGGAGCUAAUACCGGAUAAUAUAUUUAACCGCAUGGUUCAAUAGUGAAAGACGGUUUUGCUGUCACUUAUAGAUGGAUCCGCGCCGCAUUAGCUAGUUGGUAAGGUAACGGCUUACCAAGGCAACGAUGCGUAGCCGACCUGAGAGGGUGAUCGGCCACACUGGAACUGAGACACGGUCCAGACUCCUACGGGAGGCAGCAGUAGGGAAUCUUCCGCAAUGGGCGAAAGCCUGACGGAGCAACGCCGCGUGAGUGAUGAAGGUCUUCGGAUCGUAAAACUCUGUUAUUAGGGAAGAACAAAUGUGUAAGUAACUAUGCACGUCUUGACGGUACCUAAUCAGAAAGCCACGGCUAACUACGUG
rnacentral:rRNA from 1 species